AUUGAACGCUGGCGGAAUGCUUUACACAUGCAAGUCGACCGGUAGAGGGGGCAACCCCUCGAGAGUGGCGAACGGGUGAGUAAUAUAUCGGAACGUGCCCAGUCGUGGGGGAUAACGUAGCGAAAGCUACGCUAAUACCGCAUACGAUCUAUGGAUGAAAGCGGGGGAUCGCAAGACCUCGCGCGAUUUGAGCGGCCGAUAUCAGAUUAGGUAGUUGGUGGGGUAAAGGCCCACCAAGCCAACGAUCUGUAGCUGGUCUGAGCGGACGACCAGCCACACUGGAACUGAGACACGGUCCAGACUCCUACGGGAGGCAGCAGUGGGGAAUUUUGGACAAUGGGCGAAAGCCUGAUCCAGCCAUUCCGCGUGCAGGAUGAAGGCCCUCGGGUUGUAAACUGCUUUUGUACAGAACGAAAAGGUUUCUACUAAUACUAGGAGCUCAUGACGGUACUGUAAGAAUAAGCACCGGCUAACUACGUGCCAGCCGCCGCCGUAA
rnacentral:rRNA from 1 species